rnacentral:tRNA from 1 species
GGGGUAUUAACUCAGUUGGGAGAGUGCUACACUUGCAAUGUAGAAGUCAUCGGUUCAAGUCCGAUAUACUCCA